rnacentral:lncRNA from 10 species
GCCGUCCUCCUCCAUGGUGACCACAGCACGGGGCUAGGCCGUCCUCCUCCAUGGUGACCACAGCGCAGGGCUGGGCCGUCCUCCUCCAUGGUGACCACAGCGUGGAGCUGGGCCGUCCUCCUCCAUGGUGACCACAGCGUGGAGCUAGGCCAUCCUCCUCCAUGGUGACCACAGCGCGGGGCUGGGCCGUCCUCCUCCAUGGUGACCACAGCGCGGGGCUGGGCCGUCCUCCUCCAUGGUGACCACAGCACGGGGCUGGGCCGUCCUCCUCCAUGGUGGCCACAGCGUGGAGCUAGGCCAUCCUCCUCCAUGGUGACCACAGCGCGGGGCUGGGCCGUCCUCCUCCAUGGUGGCCACAGCGUGGAGCUAGGCCAUCCUCCUCCAUGGUGACCACAGCGCGGGGCUGGGCCGUCCUCCUCCAUGGUGACCACAGCGCGGGGCUGGGCCGAUCCAGCUUUGAAGGCGACAGACCCGGGCUGUGGAGCAUGCUGUACCUGGUCAGCAUGGAGGGCCGGCAGACCGCUGUGUGGGGAUUAUCAGAGCCCCACUGGCCUCAGCCCUGCAAUCUGUGAAGUGGAGAGGCCGACCCACCAUGCAUUUUGCAUAGAUGAUCGCUCUGGAUUCUUGGACACUACAGAACUGGUUCCUAAAGCAGGUGCACUUACCACAUCCCUGUCGGCAUGACUUCCAACUACCAGAACCCGCCACUCUGGGUGUUCCUGGGGGGCUUUAUCAAGCCACCAGCAUCUACUCUGCUGGUGCAAGGUGCAGAUCAGAAGGGUGGAGCAAUUAACACCCUCUGGGGUCAGUCCUCAACUGCCCCAACUGAUAGCAAAUGGUGGAUAAAUACCCCAGCUCCCUCACCCUCAGGUGGGAUAACUCUGAGGCAUGUUCUACGCUGUCCCCUCAUUCCCUAGCAGUAUUGAGCUCCAACUACCCACAGGAUAAUGCUUUCUUGCCUCACUUCCCAUUCCACUACCAG